AUUAAAGGAACAAAAGGUUUUGAGCUGAACGUGAACCCCAGAGAGCAGCUGGGUCUAGAGAAGAUCCUAGAGAGAUGACUGGCUGUCAUUUAACACAGCCCUGUCGGUCUAUGGAUCAGGAAACAGAGACUCAGAGACAGGAAAUGAACUCUCCAGGGUUGUUCAGGCCUGUUCAACUCUUCAUGACCCCCAUUUGGGGUUCAGAUACUGGAGUGGUUUGCCAUUUCCUUCUCCAGUUCAUUUUACAGAGAAGGAAACUGAGUCAAACAGAGCUCCAGCUCCAGUCCCUUGAAAUCCCUAAGAGACACCAAGUGCUCCCAGAUACUCACAUGAUGACAAACCACCUUCAGACACAACCAUUCUCUGCUUCCUGGUUGCAAAAAAGGCAGCAGAGUGCCCAGAUGAGGGCAUGGACAUGGAGAGGUUUAUGGAGCCAAUGGGAUUGGGCAAGGACUUCUUCAGCAUCUGCUAUCCUCCAGGCACUGGACUGGUCCUUGGAAGAGGCCUGAGCAGCUCCACCAACCCCAUCCACCAACGGAUCAAUCCCCACUGUAACCAGCCUGAUAAGAAGUGAACCAGCUUGUCAUCGGAGACUUCUCUGGCCUCUCAAAUCAGCAGCGGAUUCUACUUCAGGCAGCUUUCACUAGAAGAUGGUGCCUGCCAUCAAGCCUAAGUUUUCCUCUUUAUAACUGCUACCCACGGCCUUCCUGCUUCUGCCCUCUGGAGUCAAAUAGAACCUGGCUAAUCCUUCCCCCACAUAACACCCCUUCACAUAUUAGAAAACAGAAGCCUUCUCCCCUCCGGUAUAACCAUGCACACUCCCAGCCUUCUUUUGGACAGCCAUCAUUUCCCUCUUCUUCAGUGUCCUGAAGGGCCAUGACCAGACUCGGUUGUUCAGCAAGCCUAGAACAAGCUCCUCCCAAGUGCCAGGCACUGGGAGUACCAAGACAAAAAUAAAAUAGUCCCUGCCCUCA
rnacentral:lncRNA from 1 species